rnacentral:tRNA from 1 species
GGAUGGAUGGCAGAGCCUGGCUUAAUGCAGCUGUCCCGAAAACAGCCGAACCGAGAGGUUCCGCGGGUUCGAAUCCCACUCCAUCCUCCA